GGGCCACACCUCCCAGUGGCCUCACUGCCCGAGGGGUCCUCCCCCAAGUCCCCCGGGGCCACAACCAGCCCCCUCCACCCCGGCCUCCUCUCCAGCCCCGUGCCACCGUCAGGCCGCGCCGGUUCUCAUGAUUCUAUGUUGAACGUUAUUUAUAAACAUGAGAGGAAUCUUACCCUGAACACCACUGGGGAGUUUGGCCCCUCAGACCAUGGGGUGGGAGCCAGUGGUGGGGAUUGCUGCUGCUGCUGCUGACCCCAGGGCCCCAUCUGCCCUCCUGUCCUCUCCUCUCGCUGCUCACAGGACCCGCCUCCUUUGCUGAAAUCCCAAGAGGACCUGACGGCCCCGUUGGGCACCGAGGCCAGGGACCUAUUUGCCACGGAAACCCAGGACCGGAGCAGGGCUGCCACUCGCAAGGACUCUCACUGAGGCUGUGACGAUUUUCAUCGGGUCCUGGAUGCUGCCAGCAGGAACUCUGUGACCCUCGCAGCCUCCUCUGCCAGUUCUUGGGAAGGAUGGGAGCAGGGUCCAGAGCCUGCUCCGUCUCCUUGUCCACCGCCCCCCAACCCCCGGGGUGGACAGGAGUGGGUCCGUGCAUGUGGGAGCAGUGUUCUCCCCUUUCUGCUGUCCUGUUCAAUUUUUCACCCCGCCAUCCUGCCCUGGGAGGGGACUCCGAGGCUGAGUUUGCCUCUGUCCAGGAAUCCACUGUGGGACAAAGGAUGAGGAUUGGUGUGUGUGUGUGUGUGUUGAGGAGGUGGGGUGGUCCUAGCAGCCGUGCACCCUAAUCUCUCCACCCCCAAAUUAGGGCUCUUCACCUCAGCUGCAUCCUCAGAGACCCUCCCCUGGCCAACCCUGAAGAUGAGGGAGGAGGGGACAGGGAGGUCAGUCCCUUGAGCUGGGUCUCUACCAGCUCUGGCCUCCAAGCUCCAUCUUUACCACACCUUUUGCCUUUCCCACACUCCCAACCCUUUCCCCAGUUCCACCCUCCAGCACUAGACAACCACUGUCUUCCUCCCCACAGCCCACCCCCAGUCACGACUAGGGGCUGAGGGAAGGUACCCAUAUUCCAUGCUCCUGGCCCGAGUCUCCCCUGCCCUUCCCGGUGGGGUGGGGAGCUGACAGAUGGGGGAGGGGUAAUGCUCCAUAAGGUAGUUUGGGAAAGAGCAGGCACCCUCUGCUUAGAACAAUGCCAAGAGCAGGGGAAGGGCUGAGGUGGGCAAAUUCUGGAGCAAACAGUCGUGCCAGGCUGGGGGUCAACACUUCCUCAUUCUCCGGCUCCUGGGCUAGACUGUGGUUCCAGCGAGGCGAUGGACAAUCACAUGGUGGACUUGUCUCCUCCCUCAGAUGGUCGGCCCUUCAGGUCCCCAGCCUCCUAGGGCACUGGACCCCGGCCUGGGGUGGGAGAACAGACAGUCUUUGUCCAUUUUGUAAAGAGGAUGUGAAAA